CUUAAAUGAAUUGACGGGACCCGCACAAGCAGAGGAGCGCGUGGUUUAAUUCGACGGCAAUCGAAGAACCUUACCAGGGUUUGAAAUGUAUCUGCAUGCCCUAUGAAAUAGGAGGCCUUCGAGGGUGAUACACAGGUGCUGCAUGGCCGCCGUCAGCUCGUGUCGUGGGAUGUAGGGUUAAGUCCCGAAACGAGCGCAACCCCUAUUCUAUGUUACAAGUGUCUUAGAAAACCGCCUCGGUAAAACGAGGAGGAAGGUGGGGAUGACGUCUGGUCCGCAUAGCCCUUAUGUCCUGGGCUACACACGCGCUACAAUGGCCGAUACAGUAGGAAGCCAAAUCGUAAGAUGGAGCUAAUCCUUAAAGUCGGUCUCAGUUCGGAUUGAGGUCUGAAAUUCGACCUCAUGAAGUUGGAUUUGCUAGUAAUCGUAGAUCAGCAAUGCUACGGUGAAUACGUUCCCGGGCCUU
rnacentral:rRNA from 1 species